GGCUAAAGCCGCUCCUACGGGGGGACGGUAUUGCCCCUGGGUUUGACGCUAUCCCUGUAGGAGCGGCUUUAGCC
rnacentral:antisense_RNA from 1 species